rnacentral:rRNA from 1 species
UUCUGGGAAAAUUGAAAGGUUGAGAGCUCUUUCUUGAUUUGGUGAAUGGUGGUGCAUGUCUGUUCUUAGUUGGUGGAGCAAUUUGUCUGGAUUAAUUUCGAUAACGAACGAGACUCUAGCCUAUUAAAUAAGUGCGUGGUUCUCUGCACCUUGCACCCUUCUUAGAGGGACAAGUGGCUCCUAGCCACUCGAAACGGAGCAAUAACAGGUCUGUGAUGCCCUUAGAU